UCUCACACACUCUUUCCCAUUGACUACGAUCCAUCCAGAGGCUUCGGUGGGCGUGCCAGAGGACAGGAAGAAGCUCACCUGGGCGGACGGCGAGACGGUGAUCCUCCUGGAGCUCUGGGGAGACGACACUGUGCAGCAGAACCUGAAGCGCUGGCCGCACAACAGUCACAUAUACUCAGAGAUUUCGGGAAAGCUCAACUUCCGUGGUUAUUACAGAACUGCAGAUCAGUGCCACACCAGGAUAAAGUGUUUGAAAGCCAGCUAUCGGCAGUGCCAGGAAACCAUCAGUUCAUAUGGAUCUGAGCAGGUUGAUUUGAAGUUCUAUGAUAUUUUGAAGCUAAUACUUGAGAGGCAGCCUCCCUCCACCAGCACAGUGGUGACAGACUUGACCAAUGACAUAUCAGAGGAAUCAGACAGUGACUCACUUCAAGAAUCCAGAGGGCAGAACACUUUGACUCAGACUCUAAUGUGAAAGCUGUUCUCCCAGGACAGAUGAUCUCUCUGGGUUGUAAAGUUAGCACUGAUCCAGUUGGGAAUUGUGGUGGUUCAGGUAAACUGUGUCUAGCUUGGUACCAACAGAAACCUGGAGCAGCUUCUAAACUCCUCAUUUACUAUAUAAGCACACUUCAGUCUGGAACUCCGUCUAGAUUCCGUGGCAGCGGAUCUGGGAGUGACUUCACUCUGACCACCAGUGCAGUCCGGGCUGAAGAUGCAGGAGGGGUACUGCUGUCAGAGUUUAAACUGCAGUCCAUGUGUGUUCACACAGUGAUACAGAGCCGUACAAAAACCUCCCUCAGUCAGACUGCACAGUGACUGUACUGAUACAGCU